UUGAAUACUCUUUUACAACUUAAAAGCACUAAUAUAAAUUUCUAAUGAAAAGAUCGACUUAAGAUUUAGAGCAAGCUUUAAUUCAAACGCUUAUUCUGACCUCGUAUGAAACAUUUAAAGAACCUUACAGUUUCAGUUCAUCAAAAUAAAAUGAGAACCAAGAUUAAAUUCGAAGUGUUUCCAGCAUAAACUAACAGCCCACAAAGAGAAGAUGAUUGGGUGGGAAUUAAAAAGUGUUGGGCCCAAAGGCAUACCCCAUUGCUUAACAACUGGGCCCAACUUAAUGACUAAAAAACGACCUGAAUCAGGCCCAAAGCAGAGACCAAUUUAAUUAAAAUCCUAAAUAGAAGAUUAAAUGACUCCAAAUCAAUCAUGGAUUUAUCAUGACUGGAAUCAACCUCCUACAUAACUUCAUUUAUAAGAGUAAUUUAAAUAUGAAUAUUAAUUUUUAAGACUCAUGACACUCAUGCUCAUUAAAUUUUAUUUGCAUAAACCAAUACACACAGUCCAAUAUUCAACCCUGCAAAGCUGGAACCUAAGUGACUCUCAGCAGGAAACUAAUAACUAAUAUAACCCAGAACACACCAUCAAACAUGAAUUUGAAUAAUUAAAGUCCAUUGUCCACUUAGUGAUACAGAUGCAAGAUGCUACUGCAAAUCACUUUCACAUAACUAAUUUCAGAGAAGAGAAAGAAACCCUAAUUAACAUCUACAGUUUGAAAUCUAACUACAGGAUAUGGCAAUGGCAAAAGGAAAAGGGAAAUCAACUUCAAAUGGAAUCUUCAUUUAACAGAACUUCAUCUCUAUUAUAUGUUCAACAAUUCUUCCCCAGUAAUGAGCUAAGGAGGUACCUGGAAAGUUGAAAGAAAACAGGGUGAAUGAUUAGCACAUACACAACAGAAAUCAGCAACAACAGCCAGCCAAAACAAGCUCAAAACCCCAGUAAUGGUGUAUGACCAACUUGAUAUCUCAGGCUUAAACAAACAACAACUCAACAGACUUUAAAACGAUUUUGCAAACCAACUUCAAACCAUUUUAUGCUCAGAUGUGACAAAAUUAUUUCAGGAACUUGAAAAGAAAUCAGAAUCAUUGAGGAUCUAAUGAUACAGUAAGAUUUUGUAUUUAUGUAUAUCAAUCAGAGUAUU
rnacentral:lncRNA from 1 species